rnacentral:tmRNA from 1 species
GUCAAGGUUUCGACAGGGGCUUUGAAGCUGGAGAAGCUACCCGCAGGUGAUGCGUCAAAUCACAAACCUAAAUAUAAACGCUGAAGACAACACUUUAGCUUACGCUGCUGCUUAAAGCGGCGUUGUCCGAUCCGGGGCACCUGCACUCCGGAACCCGGGCAUCGACGAUGCAGGAAACGACACAGGCAAAGCUUUGAGCCUGCGGGCGUAAUAUGAAGCUACUGAAACCGCGGGGAUGUCAGUUUCCGCGCGGCGGAGGGAAUGGAAGAGGCGAAAGCCUCUUCGGCAAGAACUGACUACGGUAGUAGAAGGACAGGGGAUGGGCUUUUGGACACGGGUUCGACUCCCGUCUGGUCCACU